rnacentral:lncRNA from 1 species
AGAGAGAAAUCUUUAAAAAAUAGUCACCGUGAGGGGAAAUACAAACGAGACAAAAAGGAAGAAGAGCGCCAAAUGGGCGACGAUGUGUUUCCGUGCAAGUGCCAGACUAAAUGCGCAGCACCGGCAGGUUGGGUUAUUGACUGUCGACUCCAGUCGCCUUAUCAAUAGUCUCCUCUCCAGUUACCCCACAACACACCUGCACGUUGAUAUACGACGCAGUUUACGUGAGAAACAACCAAAAAGUGGUUCGGUCGGGUCCCCCCUAAAACCAAACUUGAACCUUUGACAGUUCUGCUGAAUAUUUUUCUCUUGCGCCAACUGAUGCCCCUUUUGUUUCGUCCAACAACAACUUGAGAGCGCGUGUAAACCUAUCCGCCGAGUGAUUUAAAUGAACAGCAACAACAACAACGGCGAGAACAACCUGACGUUGGCAUUUCUCCUUUUUGGCUGGGCGACAAUGGGGAGGAAAAAUUUAAAAAAAAGGAACGCUGUUGCGCGGAUCUCAGCAAAUAUUAUCGCCAUUACGCCCGUGUGACUUUUGGCCCUCCCAAACUGUUUUCACUAUACAACAACGCGCAUACGAGCGAGGAUAAUAAAUUGUGUCAAAAACGAUGACGCAUCUUUUGCACAGCUCUGCAAAAGUUCUGGAUUUUUGUUUUCUCGCUCACGAAACGAGCCAACGGACGGACGGACGGAACACACAACGUCUGCAAUUUGUUUGUUCAGACUCGUGAAUUUACAUGCGUGCCUGUCGAUAGGGAAAAGAGUUGACCCCAACUUUGAGUCCGUCUGUAGCCGGGGACGACGACAAUAAGGACGACACAACAAGGAUUCAAAAAUGGUCGCAAUGGCGCCGCUUCCAUAGUUACGGAUAUACACGUCCAGCAACAGCACGACGGUGUAUUAGAUAUUUUGUUUUUGUUGGGGGGGACGUCACAUGGGGUUGCGCCGCGAUUUGCAUAGGCGAUGGCCUUAUGAGGAAAGCCGGACCGACGGGCACCAACCGACAAUGGAGUCGAUCCAUCUUCUUGCUCUUCUGCGUCACUCAUUCAUCUACCUCGACUCGCCUUGUUGUUGUUUAUCUCGUCCAGCAGCAGACAGGAAUUCUUUUAUAUGCAUUUGACUCGCUAUUACGCGUGCGUAUUAUACCUACGUCGUCUGCUUGUUAUGUACAGACUGGCGGAAUCAGGGCUACGAGACAACAAGCCAAUUUGAACAAAAGUAAACACAAAUCAUCAAUUUUUUUUCUUUUGCGCAAAGACUCGAUUCAUUCCGUUGUCCGAUGAGCUCAUUCUUUUCUAGCACGGGGAAAGCGCCGCCUUUUAUAGACGACUCGUUUAACGAGCUUCCUAAUUUUUCUUUCCCAGCGUUCUCUGUCUGAUUGGAACAAGAUCAUUUGCAAACCGAUCAAAAAAUUUCCCCCCUAUUCUUCUUCUUAUCUAGAUUGCCUGUCUCGACUCGCAGCGCUAUAUAUGGACAGAUGAAUUGCGCAUGGGAAACGAGCGACGUGCUGCACGAUAACUCUUUAACGAGGUUGGCCCAGGAAUAUAAAGAGCUUGCGCUUUAUUCCUUUUUCUCUGCGCGGAAAAAAAAGAAAAAGAAGAAGUUCCAAGUUGCCUGCCAUAAACGAUAUUUCUAGAUGUGCUAUACAUGCAAAAAAAAGAAAAAGAAAAAAAGGAAAAAGAAGGGAGGAAUAUAGUAGUUACGGUUUAACUUCUCUUCCUAUUCGACAUCGGCUCGCUUAUCCUAUCCCGCCUGCUGGAAUUUAUGGCGGAAACGACAUUUCGGAACGGCAACUCUGUCCUUGGAUGCUCGAGACUACGACAGAGAUGUCGCCUGGAAUAAUAAGCGAAUAGCUAGGAAAAAGAAAGAAGAAUAAAAAGGAGCGAUUUUCUUCUUUUGAAUUUCAAAGUCUAAUCUCCUUACCGGUAUACAAGCCCGAUAUGUCGCAUAACAAAAAAAAAAAAUCCAAAUAAAGAAUAUGUAUGACAAGGCGAAGAGAAAACUCUUUGGGAGAUUUUCAAAAAACCCCAUCAUGAUCCGUUGUGUCGUCUAGAAAUAAUAUUUACAUAUGUAAAUAAUUGGCGCAAACUGCUUCUCCUUUUGAUAAACGAGCGACGAUAUUUUGAUUCUCGUCGUCUAUAUUCUUUCCUUUUACGUUCUGUCAUCUGGGGAUGUGUGUGCAUUGCAGUAGAAGAGACAAGGGGCCCCAAAACCUUUUGGAUACUUUGCCACUGCCAGGACAACCGACUCAAAGCAGAUGACAGAGCCAUUCAAUCGACAAUGAAAAGACCGGUCUGACCGGUGUUCGCCCCCUUUUUGUUUUUUAUUACAGUAAAGGAUUUGUUAAUGUUAAUUUGUUUUGCUUCCAUUUGAAAAAGAAAAAGAUAAAGAGGCCCUUCCUUGAAUGAUAUAUAAUACAUGCAGGAAAGUAAUGUAAUCUAUAUAGGUAGCACGACAGUUCUUUUUUUAGUUCCUCCCUGCGUUACAUUACAAGCAAGAUCGAUCGAUAUUGAUUGAUUUCUUUUUCAUUCGAUUUGUUAGUCGCAUAUAGUGACGGUCAAUUUUAAUGUCAACUGGUUUCUAUUUCUCCACGGAGGGUGACGACCGUGGCUUCCACCAUCACAUGAUUGAAUCGUAUACACAAAUGUCAUCCAAGGAAAACAUACAGUAACUUAAUUACCCAGGUUUUCUAUCGUACAUAAAAAGUAGCCGUGAAAGUGAAAUGAUAGACCCCAUCCAGUAAUGGAGUGAACCCAUAUCAAAACCGUGUUCUUUAUACGCACACAAAUGACCACCAUAUACACACAAUACUGCUGGUAGCACACAUAUAGCCGCGUAUAUGGCUGGCGUCUCAAAGGCGACACUUUACACAGGAGAUAAGGAAGCACACAAAUUUGGGAUCGGCCAGCGCGGAGACGACCGGAAUUACCAUAGCAACACCAGCAUCAUUUACUACGUAUAUAUAGCCUUUAACGCGUACACUUUGAUCCAGAUAUGAGAGUAGUAUGUCAUUAAAAAGAAACCCAACUUAUUGCUGGUUGCUACACAUUCCGGUUCAUUUUCCGCAGCAACAAAAAAUGUUUUCAACAAUUUCGUACAAGGAAAAAACAGUCAAAAGAAACCGAAUUAUUAUUGAAACGUCAGACUAUCGGGAAACAUAAACGGGACCAGCCGGCGGCACCACACUCGACGCACAUAGGAACGACGAUCCGAUAAGAGUUGAUGUCAGUUGAAGAGAGAGAGAUAGUUGGCGCGGCGUUCUCUAUUAUUCUUUCUUUCUUUCUCUUAUAUUCCCUUUUUCUUUCCGUUUUCCCAUCUCUUUUUCUGCCUUUCCGUUGCAUAUUUAUUUCCUUUUCGACUGGAUAUAGUAUACUAACAAAAUGAAAAAGAACAUAUCCUUCUGGAUAAAACCCACCCGUUUAAACAAAGUCCGUGUGUCCCUUUUUCAUUCCGCCCCUUUAGCUCCUCGCAUCACGAGAAUACUAAGCAGCUUGCUUAUUCGGCUGCCCUGCUGUCUUCUCGUUCGUUUUUUUUGACGUUGAUGGACAACCCGAAAACCCGCAGCGCUUGGUUGUUGUUGUGUCUGCGUACACCAAGGCGAGUCAUGUCGAAUGAUAUUUUUUAACCAGACUUUAAUUAAUUUCUCAUUUCUCUCUCUGUCACUCUCUAUGUGGUGGAACUCGGUGAAAACUACUAGCCGUAUGCACUUGCUGUAGCGAAACUUGAAUUAUAAUAAAAAUUUAGAGGUCGCAAUCACCACCAGGUGGCAUGCAGAUGCUUGAAAAAUCGGCGCUCUUUCCAAAAAAUGAAAAAGAACUUUCAAGAUAAGAAAAGCCGAAAAAUGAGUAAAGAAGAAGGUAUAGUAUAUAUAUACUACUACCGGGGCAUGUUAUAUUGGAGGAGGGCAGCUAGCUAGAGUCUAGCUAGCAGGAGAAUUAAAUGGUUGGAAAUAGUUAGCUCGGUCUAACUGCCACCAAGGUACUCAAUUUGUUGCUGAACCGCGCUAUAAUUACUUCUUAGCCGCUGGGCGUCUUUUCUCUUGUUACUGUGCCCAUUGGCAGGACCCCAGUAGAGGUAGACACCAUAUAUACCUGCGUUAUACUGCGGAGGAAAAAAAACUGGGAGGGAGAAAAGAAGAAAAAGAAAAAAAAAAAAUGAAAUAAAAAUUUCAGAGGGGAAGGUGGGCGGAUCGAUAACUCCGCACAGGUUUCUUCUCCUCCAUCAUCCGCCAAGUUCCCUUUUUUUUCGCCAAAAUUGGCUGUUUCUCCUCCGCUUUUCCAUAUACGAACUCAACAGUUUCUCUUUUUUGAACUGUGUCCUCCCCCUCAUCUUAUUUCAUGCGCCAUUUUUUAUUGUCCGCUAGGACAAAACUCCUCCCUCCUACAGUCCUUGCAAACUGCACAUUAUAAAAAAUUUCGCCUUGGAAAUUCUGCUGUCCUUUCUGUGCCGACAGUGUUUUUUCUUUGUCGAAAAAAUCGAUCGUGAGAGACCCCUGAUGGUCAGUUUCUUUUCUGUCACGGUAACUUGCACAUUGAGAAUGAAAGAAAAAGAAGAAAAAGACAAAUAUCCAAGUAAUUCCUUGUUCAUGACCGGCGAUAUUUGUGAACGCCGCCGCCGCCGAGACGCAGUCUGAAUCGGCCAGCGUAACAAUACACAGCAGUCGGUCCCUACGUUUCGUUUCAAUGGAAAAAACCAAAAAAUAAAAAUAAAAGUUUCAAUUUUUUGAAGAGGAUUUCUUGAAGAAGAAGAAGAAAAAAAAAAGGGAAAAAAACUUGUGUAUCCUUUGUUCAUCAGCAGAGAAUGACAUGGUUCAUAACGACAAAAUGACAGGUUACCAGUCGGCUAUCACCUUCAAGAAAAGAAGGGAAAACCUGCCGGGGUCCUCGUGCCUGUCAUUUUGGAAAAAGGAAAAAAAAGAAAGAAGAAAAAAAAAGUUUUUUUUUCCCUUUUUUCUUUUUUAAAGAUUUUGUCGCUUUGUAUUUUUAUAAUACAAGAAAUACGCGGACGAUGGAAAUAAAAGAGGGGGGGGGAUAUAAGAGACACCCACCUUUUUCUUUAAAGGUCCUCCAGGUAUAAAAACGUAGAAGAAGAAAAAGAAAAGAAAAAGCUCGUUAAGAAAAAUCCUGUCCCAAAUCAUUUUGAUUUGUAUUUAUGUUAUCUUGUUGCGCGCGCUGCUCAGCUCGGGAUUUUUUUUCCUUUUAGAUUCCCAACCCCCAUCUUUUUUGGUUGUUUUCUUUCCUUUGAUUUAUGUGAGAAUAGAUCAAGAGAACCUGUUUUGAAUGUUUUUCUUCACUAAAAGAAAAAAAAAAAAAGAGAGUCCCUUCUAUUCUAGACUGACUGGAUCUCUGGCGUCUCUUCAUUUACAAUUCAGAUGUUGCAGUAGUGUAUUAUAUAUAUAUAUAUCUAUCCAAAUAUAAGUAUGUGUAUGUCUACAUAUACGUUACACGUAUGUAUAUAAAUAAAUAUCGUCCCUUCUCUUCUUUUUUGUUUCUAUCGGACCCCUUUCAUUCCUCCGUCUAUCUGACAUUGGCGGGCAUCACACCGGUAGUCGUUGGCUUCCACUGGACAUCCACAGUAGCCGCCGCUGGAAUAUCUUUUUUUGAUAAGAAUAAACUAUUGGGCAAUGCUGGUGUAGUGUCUGGAGGAGAAGAAAAAAAAGUUGUAGUUCCAGUCUGUUAUAGUUCUGACGGACUAGAGACCUUAUUGGGGGAUAAAUCAAAAGCUACAAGCGAGAGAUUGACAGGUGUGUGCAAGAAAUAUCAGAAAUAUCAUCACAAGAGGGUUUGUCUUACCAAACGUCAACUUUUUUUCAUCUCUCUCCAUCUUUUUUUAUCCCUUUCGGGAUAUUCUUGUGCAACACAAAAUUCAAAUUUAAUGUACCUUCUACUUUUUUGAAUUAUUUGACAGGGGGGAUUUUUAUUUGCCGUUAGGUCGCUCCUCCCACUUUUCCUGGUAAUAUUAGCAACUCGGCGCAAAUAGACAGACACGCAUACUACGCGAGAGUUGCAGGCGUUCAUAAUUUAUCGACGCAGAUUGCAGCCUGGGCUUUUAUUUAAUAUUUAUUUCAUUUCUUUCCUCCUCUUUCCCCAUGAUUCUACCCAUUUUCUCUUUUCUCCUUUUUUUUCUUUUUCCUUCUGCACCUGGGCUCUCCACUGAUGCGUAGUAGAGCCGGAGAAAUUAUAGUCUCAUGCAAAUAUGAUUCUUUUUUUCAUAGAAAGAUGCGCAUCUCGGCUCACACGGGCAGAGAAAGCUUGACAUCAGCCAUCCCGGUAAAAGAAAAGACGAUACAGCGCGCAGAUGGCAUUAUACGAGGAGAAGAGGGACCCACUUGGUCGUAAAAUAUUCUGGACUUUGCACUUUGCUUCAAGUUUUAAACUUAAAUGUUUUGAAUUUGAUUGUUUACU